GAUGAACGCUGGCGGCGUGCUUAACACAUGCAAGUCGAACGGAAAGGCCCUGCUUUUGUGGGGUGCUCGAGUGGCGCACGGGUGAGUAACACGUGAGUAACCUGCCCUUGUCUUUGGGAUAACUUCAGGAAACUGGGGCUCAUACCGGAUAGGAGCUACUGCUGCGUGGUGGGGGUUGGAAAGUUUCGGCGGUGGGGGAUGGACUCGCGGCUUAUGCGCUGGUUGGUGGGGUAGUGGCUUACCAAGGCUUUGACGGGUAGCCGGCCUGAGAGGGUGACCGGCCACAUUGGGACUGAGAUACGGCCCAGACUGCUACGGGAGGCAGCAGUGGGGAAUAUUGCACAAUGGGCGGAAGCCUGAUGCAGCAACGCCGCGUGCGUGAUGACGGCCUUCGGGUUGUGAACCGCUGUCUCCUGUGACGAAGCGGGAGUGACGGUAAUGGGUAAAGAAGCACCGGCUAACUACGUG
rnacentral:rRNA from 1 species